GAUGAACGCUGGCGGCGUGCCUAAUACAUGCAAGUAGAACGCUGAAGCUUGGUGCUUGCACCGAGCGGAUGAGUUGCGAACGGGUGAGUAACGCGUAGGUAACCUGCCUCUUAGCGGGGGAUAACUAUUGGAAACGAUAGCUAAUACCGCAUAAAAGUCGACAUUGCAUGAUGUUGACUUGAAAGGUGCAAUUGCAUCACUAAGAGAUGGACCUGCGUUGUAUUAGCUAGUUGGUGAGGUAACGGCUCACCAAGGCAACGAUACAUAGCCGACCUGAGAGGGUGAUCGGCCACACUGGGACUGAGACACGGCCCAGACUCCUACGGGAGGCAGCAGUAGGGAAUCUUCGGCAAUGGGGGCAACCCUGACCGAGCAACGCCGCGUGAGUGAAGAAGGUUUUCGGAUCGUAAAGCUCUGUUGUAAGAGAAGAACGAGUGUGAGAGUGGAAGGUUCACACUGUGACGGUAACUUACCAGAAAGGGACGGCUAACUACGUGCCAGCAGCCGCGGUAAUACGUAGGUCCCGAGCGUUAUCCGGAUUUAUUGGGCGUAAAGCGAGCGCAGGCGGUUAGAUAAGUCUGAAGUUAAAGGCUGUGGCUUAACCAUAGUACGCUUUGGAAACUGUUUAACUUGAGUGCAGAAGGGGAGAGUGGAAUUCCAUGUGUAGCGGUGAAAUGCGUAGAUAUAUGGAGGAACACCGGUGGCGAAAGCGGCUCUCUGGUCUGUAACUGACGCUGAGGCUCGAAAGCGUGGGGAGCAAACAGG
rnacentral:rRNA from 1 species